CGCUUCCGGUCUUGGCCUGCAUGCGGCAGAGCCGGAGGCCCAGCAGGACUGGGUGUCCUCUGGAGCCUGGCCCGUGCCCCACCCACCUUGGGUCUGGCUCCCUCCCUUGCUGGAGCCUCCUCGCAGGCGUUGGUGCUGGUCACGGCUGAGGGAAGGAGCACAGGAUGGAUUCUCUCUGGGUGGCCCCGCCACUCCAGGCCACACUGCAGGCCCUGGCCCUCUGGGGUCCUUAUGGUCCUUACCGGCCCCUCCAGCCUGGCUCCUGCUCAGGGAGACAGAAGCCCCAGGCCAAGCAGAGCGUGGAUCAGUGUCCCAGGCCAGUCCCAGCCUCCCUGCAUCUUAAUGUCCCCAUCUCCCACUGGGACAGCGAUGCCAGCUCGCUUAAUGACCUGCUGUGACAAGUGACUCCCCAACCUCCAACCACGGACUCGAAGCAAAGGUUUAUUUCUGGCCCAAAUUCCACGCCUCUGCUCAUCAGAGAGAUGUGGCCAAGCCGCCCCACCCAAGGCCCACGAGCUCUAACCCAGGCCACGUUCAGCCUUUGUCAUCCAAGCAGCCGUCAUUCCAUUCUGAUGCUGUCCCGAAAUCUUCUGCAAGCAGUAAUGGUGCAGAACUGUAGACAAUUCACAGAAAAGACAGAUACAUCUGGGUUUCUCAUGGCUUUAAGACCGUGCCAUUGAGCUGGGUGGUUCUGAGCUGCACAUCUGCUGUAAGCUUCAGCAAAUCACCCCAAGAGCUGACGUGUGGGUAAAUACCACGCCUGGGCCACAUGGGCCCUGCAGAAAUGUCACCUGGAUACCCGAAGACAUCACCAGAGACAGAGUGCAAACCAGGACAUCCAUAGCCUGGAACUGCCAUGUUGAAAAUAUACUGUUUCUAUGCCAGUAAGUCGGAACGUGUAGCCCCAGAUGAGGGGCUCUACAAGACUGUCCAAGGGUUCCACAGCUCUGGGGCACACCAUCAGCUCGGGCGGUCUAGUUACUUGGCGAGGUCUUGGCUCCGAGGACCUUGCUUUAGGGUCCCUUCCAAUUGUCCUGGUUGUCCUCUUAGUUACAUCAGUGACCCCCUGCAUGUUGGAUUCUUUCAAGAGUCAUAAAUGCUUGUCAGCAGCCAUGAACUUGCAGAUGAUCUUCAUGAACAUUUCUCUGAAUCACUGAAAGGACCUGCUGAGCUUCUAGUCUGUGAGCUGGGAUGUCUGUGGAAAAGAAACAGAGCUGACCAAGUCAUGCUGCAUAGCUUGGUCACAUUCUCAGUUCAGUUGAGGGGAUAACCACUAGAUACAGCCCCUGGCCCCCAGCUCAGAGCCAGACGUUUCCCUGGAGUGCUGGCUCUGAUCAGAAACAAAGCACAAAGUGUGCAUUUUAGGUCCUUGUCAGCUGAUUCCGUGAAAGCAAACCGAUCAGCUGCAAACCAUCGGCCUGAACAGUGGCGUCUGCUGUAAAGGGUGAUGAUGUGGAGCAGCUGUGCCCCAGAAUCGGCCAUCGUCUCCAUUGACCUGACCAUGGGAUGGGAGAGAAGUGCCCGACUUCGCUCUCUCUCCUGUGCCAGCCAGAGAUAGUGGGGCUGAGCUACCACCUUGCUCCCCUUCGCAGCCCCUGGGCCCUGGAGGGUGGACUGGGACAACUUGGCCCUUGUCACAGUGUCCUCCCGCCACCCUGAGGCUGCUGGGGCGCUGCCCUCUGCGCCGUGCUGAUGGGAGGUGCAGCGUGGCGCCCCUCCUCCACACCGCCUGCUCCGGAUGUGGAAGAAGUGGGGACUCAGCCCCUAAAGUGGCAGAGAUCAGGGAGGGCCUGAGCCCAUUAUUAACCCCCAAGCACCCUAUCCCCAGUAAGAUGUGCCGAACACAGCUAACCCUCCUGAAGAGUCCCCAGUUUCAGCCAUUUUUUCAGAGACACAACAGCUAUCAAAUCCCUCGUGUCACCCUGAGCUCUCAUGGAACUGCCAUGAUGGCUGUGGCUGUCCUGGAUGCCCUACACCUGCUUGGACCAAUCACAGGCCUAUACGUGGACCAAUCACAGGAUUGCAGCUGUUGCUGUGUUUCCCCCCAAAUAAGACCUAACCGGAAAAUAAUCAGCCUUGAAAACUGGAGCCCAAGAAUGGCAGCCUCAAUCACCUUGCCUUACCUGCCACUACAGAGCAGCCACUGAGCAAGAGAGUAGUGAUGUGCAGUCUUCUCCAUGACACUGGCCAUCACCAUGAUGCCGACAGAUGGAAUGAGGGUUGUCUCCGGCCUGCACAAGCCUUGGAUCCUGCAUCAGCCCACAGUUCAGAUGGCUGCCAACCCCGGGCAUAGAACGGACAUCAAGGCCUUCCCUGUGUGUGACCAUAGGCUGAGCUGGCCACAUUUGUCCCAGCUGACCCCUCCUGGGGCUUGCAGAGUGCCUGUGGCUGGAGCCAGGCCUGGCCUGGGUGCUGGGUGUGCGGCUGGCUCCCCACAGACCUGGCUGGUCUGGGACAUGGAAGAGAUUACGAGCAGCUCACUGCGGUAAGGCCUGCACAGCAGCAGUGUCCACGCGCUCUCUGGACAAACUAGGGAGGCAAAGCCACUGCAGGGAGCCCUGCUCCUCUCACCUCUCGUCCAACUCCUG
rnacentral:lncRNA from 1 species